ensembl:snRNA U6 U6 spliceosomal RNA
UUGCUUUGGCAGCACAUAUACUAAAAUUGGAACGGUGCUGAGAUUAGAAUGCCUCCUGUGCAAGGAUGACAUCCAAAUUCGUGAAGCAUUCCAUAUUUUU